rnacentral:sRNA from 1 species
UCGAUAUAAGCUAUUAAUAAGUUUUCUAUUGCUGUUUUUUUGUGUGAACUUCAAAAAUAUGAUUUUGUUUUCUCAAAUUAAUAGGUUUUUCCGGGAUUACUUUCAAAGCAUGCUUAAAAAGUUUUGUUGUUUUGAAUUUCAAGAGAACAUUUGCCCAUAUGUUGUGCCAUACGUAUUGAAAUUGUGCCAUGUGUUCGCUUGUUGUUGCUAAAUAAUUUGUCAUGCAGUUCCCUUGUUACUUUCAUUUUCGUAGGUGUAGAAUAUUUUCAUUCGGCAAACUUCGGCAGAUUCCGGUAUCUUAGAUGCAAUCGGCCAUGUAUACCAAACGACAGACAUAUUGACCCAGUAUCAUGGGUAAUAAAAUGUGUUAGCUCAGUCUGUAUUAACUUUUACAUUAAGUUAAACCAAUGAACAUUGAUCAGUUAGGAAUAAAAUAUGUCAGAAUUGGUUUAAAAAUGAGCUUUUAAGCUUAACAAUCAUAAAAAUUGCAUUCAUUAUCACUAAGUCUUUCAUAAGUAUAAAUCAUACAUGUAUAUGUAAACUGUCCACUCACGAAUCAGUUAUUUGUUAGUUGGCCGAUAAUCACAUUUAAUAUGAAGAAGUUAAAACUUUCAUCAUAUAAGUCUAUUGACCACGCCUUCUUUUGAUAUGCCAAGCCACGCCUUCUUUUUUUUUCUGCAUGGCCCUUUCAUAAGCAAUCACUUUGCCUGGCUUCCAUUCAGAAAAUUUCAUCAUGCACAUUCAAAAUCAUGUUGUUGUAAAUAAUUAUGAUGUUGCAUUUGAAAAGAAAUAAAUUUGAGGGGAAACUCAUUUUUAUAUAUAUAUAUAUAUAUUUAAUAUGUAACCUACCUCUGUAUUUAAUAUUUUAAAAAAGCAGAAAAAAAAAUGUAAACUGUAGAGAUCUUGAUGCUGGAUAAUGCCAUGGUUUGAUAUGCGUCUACAAUAGUUCUCAGAAUCUCGAACGGGUCACUAAGCGUUGAUUCCCUCAUUUUUUUUUUAAAAUGCAUUUAAUUCAUUCACGUGUUGAAAAUCGAUGAAAAUUAAUUUUCAAUUCAUGUAUCAGUUUGUUGAUCGAGGUUGUAGUUACGUUGUAGAGGUAGCCUAGAUUAGUUAGCAUUUAAUGUCUUUUUAAUGUCUUCUUGUAUUUUGUCUUUGUUUGCAAGAAUAAUAAAAGUUGUUAAAACAUC